GAUGAACGCUGGCGGCGUGCCUAACACAUGCCAGUCGAACGGAGACCAGCCUUUCAGGCUUCCGGGUCGAUGGGGGGAAGCGUGAGUGUCGCACGGGUGAGUAACACGUGGGCAACCUGGAUCACUGAGGGGGAUAACAGAGAGAAACUUCUGCUAUUAUCGACCAAGUAGACCCUUCGGCAUGGCAGAGUUUGAUAAGAGAAAUGCAAUGAGUGGGACCGGCGUCUGUUUAGCGAGCAGGCAGGGUAAGACCCUACCAAAGCGAGAAUCGGAAGCCGAUCUGAGAGAAUGAACGGCCACAUUGGGAGUGGGACACGGCCCGAACUCCUACGGGAGGGGGCAGUGGGGGAUAGUGCAAAAUGGGGGGAGCCCUGAUGCAGCGACGCCGGGUGAGUGAAGAAGUAUUUGGGUAUGUAAAGCUCUAUCAGCAAGGAAGAUAAUGACGGUACCUGAAUAAGAAGCCCCGGCUAACUACGUG
rnacentral:rRNA from 1 species